UUCCGGUUGAUCCUGCCGGCGGGCACCGCUAUGGGAGUUCGCUUAAGACAUGCGAGUCGGAGGUGUACCUCGGCAGACGGCUCAGUAACACGCGGACAAUCUGACCUCGGGUGGGGAAUACUCUCGGGAAACUGAGGAUAAUGCCCCAUAGGUCUGGGAUGCUGGAACGCUUCCAGGCUCAAAGCUCGGCGCCCGAGGAUGGGUCUGCGGCCUAUCAGCUCGUAGGGGGCUUUACAGACCCCCUAGGCUUCGACGGGUACGGGCUAUGGGAGUAGUCGCCCGGAGAUGGAUUCUGAGACACGAAUCCAGGCCCUACGGGGCGCAGCAGUCGCGAAAACUCCACAAUGUGGGAAACCACGAUGGGGGAACUCCCAGUGCGCGCACUUUGUGUGCGCUGUUCUCGCGCCUAAAAGCACGAGAAGUAAGGGCCGGGUAAGACGGGUGCCAGCCGCCGCGGUAAUACCCGCGGCCCGAGUGGUGCUCAUUAUUAUUGAGUCUAAAACGUCCGUAGCCGGUCGGGUAGAUUCCUGGGUAAAUCGAACCGCUCAACGGUUCGAAUUCCGGGGAGACCGCCCGACUAGGGACUGGGAGAGGCGUGAGGUACUCCUGGGGUAGGGGUAAAAUCCUGUAAUCCUGGGAGGACCACCAGUGGCGAAGGCGUCACGCUAGAACAGAUCCGACGGUCAGGGACGAAGCCCAGGGGCGCAAACGGGAUUAGAUACCCCGGUAGUCCUGGGUGUAAACGCUGCAGGCUUGGUGUCGGGGGUCCUACGGGGGCGCCCGGUGCCGGAGCGAAGGUGUUAAGCCUGCUACUUGGGGAGUACGGUCGCAAGACUGAAACUUAAAGGAAUUGGCGGGGGAGCACCGCAACGGGAGGAGCGUGCGGUUCAAUUGGAUUCAACGCCGGA
rnacentral:rRNA from 1 species